UUGGGACUGAGACACGGCCCAGACUCCUACGGGAGGCAGCAGUGGGGGAUAUUGCACAAUGGGGGAAACCCUGAUGCAGCGACGCCGCGUGGAGGAAGAAGGUUUUCGGAUUGUAAACUCCUGUCGUUAGGGACGAUAAUGACGGUACCUAACAAGAAAGCACCGGCUAACUACGUGCCAGCAGCCGCGGUAAAACGUAGGGUGCAAGCGUUGUCCGGAAUUACUGGGUGUAAAGGGAGCGCAGGCGGGAAGACAAGUUGGAAGUGAAAACCAUGGGCUCAACCCAUGAAUUGCUUUCAAAACUGUUUUUCUUGAGUAGUGCAGAGGUAGGUGGAAUUCCCGGUGUAGCGGUGGAAUGCGUAGAUAUCGGGAGGAACACCAGUGGCGAAGGCGGCCUACUGGGCACCAACUGACGCUGAGGCUCGAAAGCAUGGGUAGCAAACAGGAUUAGAUACCCUGGUAGUCCAUGCCGUAAACGAUGAUUACUAGGUGUUGGAGGAUUGACCCCUUCAGUGCCGCAGUUAACACAAUAAGUAAUCCACCUGGGGAGUACGACCGCAAGGUUGAAACUCAAAGGAAUUGACGGGGGCCCGCACAAGCAGUGGAGUAUGUGGUUUAAUUCGAAGCAACGCGAAGAACCUUACCAGGUCUUGACAUCCGAUGCAUAGCUUAGAGAUGAGUGAAGUCCUUCGGGACAUCGAGACAGGUGGUGCAUGGUUGUCGUCAGCUCGUGUCGUGAGAUGUUGGGUUAAGU
rnacentral:rRNA from 1 species